GGGCAGGUGGCAGAGUGGUCGAUUGCGCACGCUUGGAAAGCGUGUGUACAGCAAUGUACCGGGGGUUCGAAUCCCCCCUGCCCG
rnacentral:tRNA from 1 species